AUUGAACGCUGGCGGCAGGCCUAACACAUGCAAGUCGAGCGGAUGAGGGGAGCUUGCUCCUGGAUUCAGCGGCGGACGGGUGAGUAAUGCCUAGGAAUCUGCCUGGCAGUGGGGGAUAACGUCCGGAAACGGGCGCUACUACCGCCUACGUCCUGCGGGUGCUGGUGGGGGGUGUUCGGACCUCACGCUCUGAGAUGAGCCUAGGUCGGACGAGCUAGUUGGUGGGGUAAAGGCCUGCCAAGGCGACGAUCGGUAACUGGUCUGCGAGGGUGAUAAGUCACACGGGAACUGAGACACGGACCAGACUCCUACGGGACGCAGCAGUGGGGAAUGGUGGACAAUGGGCGGAAGCCUGAUACAGCCAGGCGGCGUGUGAGGAGAAGGUCUUCGGAGUGUAAAGAACGUUAAGUGGGGAGAAAGGGCAUUAAGUUGAGACGUAGCUGUUUUGACGUUACCAACAGAAUAAGCACCGGCUAACUUCGUG
rnacentral:rRNA from 1 species